ACGGGGUGGGCAAAGAUGGCCUCUCUGGGCAAGACCUAGAGGGCAAACAGAAGCCCUUUUGGUGGUGGAGAAAACAGGAUUGGGAAGGUCUUAAGGUGAGAGAAGGCCCAGGGGAUUCAAAGAAAAGAAAGGAAGCCAGUGUAGCUGGAAGAUGGCUGGGAGGGAAGCCUGGUGAGGUGGUGAGAGUUGGGUGGGAUUUUAUUCUAAGUAGAGUGGAAAGCCAUGGAAUGGUUUUGAAUUGUAUGUGUGCAUGUGUGUGUACGCGUGUAUUAAUAUAUGUGCAUGUAUGUGCGUGCGUGUGCAUCUGAUAUAUUGUGGAGAGCUGCGAGGAGGUUUCUCACCAGAAUUGGCAGUUAUGACCUCACCAUCCCUGUUCCAGCCUUUCAGGAAACUUCAAAACAUCAAUCAAGCAUGUGCGUGUCCAUCGGCAUGAGACAAGAUGAGCAAAGAUGAAUUAUCAAACAUAUUUCUCUUAGUUCCAGGACACAGACAUGACCAGAUGUUCCAUAUUGGCAGGAAAAGGUCCUCUUCCUCUAGCCCUGGAAAAAAGAAGACGUUGAGGAGUUAACCUUGAAUGACAUCAGUCUCCAGCCAUCAGUACAGUGAAGGCGGUUCUCGAAAACCAGACAGAACAGAAGGUAUCACUGUGCAACAUCCCUGCGUGGCUCGCGGCGCCCUCUGAGUCAGGAUAAUGAGAGAACAUUCUUAAAACAUGACUUAACCACGCUCAGUCCUCAAACAAAUUCCUGGAUGUAUGUGGAGUACGCUCUCCCAGCAAGCCCGAGCACAGACGCGUGGGGCGGGCUUGUUAGCACUCUUCUCUGAGCUACCUUUACAAAGCCAUCUUCUGAGCCAGUUGGUUGGUAUUAAAAUACAUUUUUAAAAA